UAUUAAAGGCAACGCCUGCCCAGUGAACAAUUAAACGGCCGCGGUACCCUAACCGUGCAAAGGUAGCGUAAUCACUUGUCUAUUAAUUGUAGACCCGUAUGAAAGGCAAAAUGAGGAUCUGACUGUCUCUUUUAGUAAAUCAAUUAAACUGAUCUCCUAGUCCAAAAGCUAGGAUGCUAACAUAAGACCAGAAGACCCUGUGAAGCUUUAACUAAACUAUUAAACCCAAUAAUAACUCCUUUAGGUUGGGGCGACCUUGGAAAAAAAAAGAACUUCCAAACAACAAUACACAACAGUAUUACUCCCAGGCCAACAAGCCAAUAACGACCCAGCACAGCUGACAAUUGAACCAAGUUACUCCAGGGAUAACAGCGCUAUCUUCUUCAAGAGCCCAUAUCAAAAAGAAGGUUUACGACCUCGAUGUUGGAUCAGGACAUCCUAAUGGUGCAGCCGCUAUUAAGGGUUCGUUCGUUCAACGAUUAACA
rnacentral:rRNA from 1 species